rnacentral:rRNA from 1 species
GGAUCCUACGGGAGGCAGCAGUGAGGAAUAUUGGUCAAUGGCCGAGAGGCUGAACCAGCCAAGUCGCGUGAGGGAUGACGGCCCUACGGGUUGUAAACCUCUUUUGUCGGGGAGCAAAGAGAGUCACGUGUGACUCAUUGAGAGUACCCGAAGAAAAAGCAUCGGCUAAAUCCGUGCCAGCAGCCGCGGUAAUACGGAGGAUGCGAGCGUUAUCCGGGUUUAUUGGGGUUAAAGGGGGCGCAGGCGGAGGUGCAAGUCAGCGGUCAAAUUGCGGGGCUCAACCCCGUACUGGCG